rnacentral:rRNA from 1 species
UACGUAGGGGGCAAGCGUUGUCCGGAUUUAUUGGGCGUAAAGAGCGUGUAGGCGGCCAGGUAGGUCAGCUGUGAAAACUCGAGGCUCAACCUCGAGACGUCGGUUGAAACCAUCUGGCUAGAGUCCGGAAGAGGAGAGUGGAAUUCCUGGUGUAGCGGUGAAAUGCGCAGAUAUCAGGAAGAACACCAAUGGCGAAAGCAGCUUUCUGGGACGGUACUGACGCUGAGACGCGAAAGCGUGGGGAGCGAACAGG